UUGUCUUUGCAGGGCAAGUGUAAAUGGUGACUGUGUUACAGCUUUGUUCUUCAUCUUUAUUUGUAGGAAGUAAUGCUGAAUAUCAGUGGUCAAGGUCAAUGGAGCGAGGUGGUCCACUGGGAAGGUGUCCCGGCCCUGGGAUGCUGGAGGCCAGGUGCUGCUGCUGCCCUGGGCAUGCCAAGGGACAGAGGCGAGCAGGUAUCGUCCGGGCCACCUCCGGAGUCAGAUGAAGAUUUGAGGUACCACAAGUAGGUGCAGAGCCUAAGUUUGGAAACGGCCGCUGCCCAAGUGGGCUGUGGGCCAUGUAUUGAAAUCCACGGUGCUGAAGCAUUCUUUUCUGUCGAGGAUGGAUUUUGUCUGCUGGUCUUCGGAGAGCUAAGUGUGGGGACUGUUGGUUGGGAGAAGGCAAAAACCUUUGGAAUCACAGGAGGCAAUUUGAAGUUAGCUUAGAGGAGAGGGCUGUAGUGGGCCGGGCCCCUUGGAGUUACAGGAGAGAGGGUUUCUCUUCAGCAUCACUCGAGCCUUUGCCGGGCCGGGCAGUUCCAACCCAUCUCCAUGUUCUCGUGAGCUUCGCAUCAUUGGAUUUUGAGUCUCGAUGUCAUUGUCCAUCUUUUCACCCGAGGAGCCUGCCUUCAGGUCUGGCAUGAUUGCCACGGUCUAAAUUUUGCCUACUCUUCAGUGUAGCCACGCUUCUGAGCACUUUUGAACAUAGCACGCGG